rnacentral:miRNA from 1 species
UUUCCAGACAUCUUCGUCAAGC